GCCCUCGUAGCUCAGAGGAUAGAGCGGCGGUUUCCUAAACCGCAGGUCACUGGUUCGAAUCCUGUCGGGGGUA
rnacentral:tRNA from 1 species